CUCAGUCUUCACUUUCACCAGCUGCAGCUCACAGGAAUAGCAGCCACGCGGAUGCUGUUCAGUGAUACGUCUGUGAUUCUUGAAGGCAGUUAAACAAGCUGUGCGCUCUAAUGUUGCGUGUCGCUUUGAAGCUGACAGGAGAGGGCUAUCAGUAGCAAACUGCCAACACCCUGCUGUGCACCUGGAACCAGGAAUGGAUGGUGUGAAUUCAACAAGAUGUCUCCUGAGACGCUGCUUUACACUUCCCAACACUGUGUAGGAAUGCCAGCAUGGAGACGCAACCAUGCAGAAACAUAAAUGCAAAAAAUGUAGAGCACAGAAACAACAGACACCCUUGCACACACAAAAAUAUGCACAUUAGGAAAUGUGCCAGCAUGACUUGAGAAAACUAGACCAAGUACGUUGGGUACACAAACUCUGUAGCCGCAACUGCACAUUAACUAAUUUCAUGUCAAAUUCAAAAAGGUUGUAUUAUUUAAUCUACAGCUCCUGUUCUGUACCGCCUACUGUGAUACUAUAUGUGCUGUUUUAAAAUAAAGAAAAUAUGAAUAUGUUUGAAAAGUA